UACGUAGGUGGCGAGCGUUGUCCGGAUUUACUGGGCGUAAAGAGCGCGCAGGCGGUCGUACAAGUCGCGUGUGAAAGCCCCCGGCUCAACUGGGGAGGGUCACGCGAUACUGUUCGACUCGAAGGCAGGAGAGGGUAGUGGAAUUCCCGGUGUAGUGGUGAAAUGCGUAGAUAUCGGGAGGAACACCAGUGGCGAAGGCGGCCAUCUGGACCGUAUCUGACGCUGAGGCGCGAAAGCGUGGGGAGCAAACAGG
rnacentral:rRNA from 1 species